GGAAGUUUGGUGGUCAUUGUUAUUUUAUUUCCAACUCAACACAAACCUGGCAUGUCAGCAAACAGGACUGUGAAAACCGUGGUGCAACACUUGCAGUUGUAUCUAAUGAAGAGGAACAGAGAUUCAUCAGCUCAUUGAAGCAGCGUUUGUGGAUUGGUCUGAAUGAUCUUGAGAACGAAGGUGUCUGGAAAUGGGUAAAUGGAGAAAAUGUUGGCAGAACGUACUGGAAACAGGGACAGCCAGAUAAUUGUAAACGUUGUGGUGGAGAAGACUGUGG